rnacentral:rRNA from 1 species
GACGAACACUGGCGGCGUGCUUAACACAUGCAAGUCGAACGGAGUGGCGAACGGGUGAGUAACACGUGGGUGACCUUCCCUGUACUUCGGGAUAAGCCUGGGAAACUGGGUCUAAUACCGGAUAGUGUGGGAUGGGCUCGCGGCCUAUCAGCUUGUUGGUGGGGUAAUGGCCUACCAAGGCGGCGACGGGUAGCCGGCCUGCGAGGGUGGACGGCCACAUUGGGACUAAGAGACGGCCCAGACUUCUACGGGAGGCAGCAGUGGGGAGUAUUGCACAAUGGGGGGAAGCCUGGUGCAGCGGCGCCGCGUUGGGGAUGACGGCCAUCGGGUUGUAAACUCCUUUCACCAUCGACGCGGUAGAUGGAGAAGAAGCACCGGCUAACUACGUGCCAGCAGCCGCGGUAAUUC